rnacentral:lncRNA from 1 species
UCAGUUAAUACACUAGGGCUGGGGCCUGGGAGAUAUCAUUGAGAAUUCGAGUUCGAGAUAGGGUAUUAGGGUUUGCUUACUGCUUCAGCCUUCGGUGCUUAGGAGAUAUCAUCGAGAACUCACUCCUCACAAAUUUAUGAUCCUCACCUUCUGAAUCGGGAGAAUCAUGUUUAUUGACAAAGACCAUAUUAAUUUGCUAUGAAUGUGGUAAAUCUGCGAUGUUCCACUUAUUACGUUUAACUUGGGAAAAAGUAGUUGUUUUACUUAAACUAUGGAAGGAGGUAACUUAAUUUCUUGUUGGAGUCUGAUGUAUUUUUAUUUGGACGCGGUAAUUUAUUUUCUUGAACUUUUGUUUUGUGGCAGGAGUAGGACCUCUAAAUUCUAAUAUCAUUAUUGUGGCAAAACAUCUGCGUCAUUAUCAAUCAUGAAUUACCUGGAAUACACCCCUCUUGAUCGGUAAGCUUUGACAUGUAAUGACAUUCAAAUACCUGGAAUACACCCCUCUUCACUGAGGCUCGGUGCAAUCACGCACAACACUUCAUAUGUUUACUAUUUUGCAACACCCUAUUAUGGAACUUUUUUUUAGCAUUAAGGGCUGAUUGGUGAGAAAAUAAUACAAUUUUGUUAACUUCAUUAAAAGAAAAAGGAAUCCAUGUAUUUAAGUUUAAAAUAGAAGGCCUCUUUUAAUAUUGGCUGAUGAGGUAAUUGCUUUUAUGAACAUGCUCUGGAUUGAGUACAUCUAGGAUAAAAAGGAUAUGGGCUCCUAUUCAAUAACCUCUGCAGAUCCUGAAAAAAAUCACAGGGAACUUACAGAGUUCAAUCUGUAUAUACCAUUUUUUGUUUUAUUUAUCAAGGCCAAUCGACAAUGGAUGUACUGGCGCUCUGCUUUGGAUAGUAACAAGCUUUGACUGUGAACUCCCUUUCCCAUUCANCUCUACUUUAGUUUGUCUCCUCUGGGGUUUUGUGCUUGUUCCAGUUUAAGUAGCAACUCUAUUGCGGUGUUUAGCUUCCAAUCCCGCUAAUACUUUCUGAACAUAAUACCCCAUGGGUUCCCAAUUUUGCAGUAAUCUAUGCAUGCUUUAGGGUGCAUCCCAAGUUGGAAUUGUUCUUGGAAUUCUUCCUUUAAGGUAUAUUUGUCUUCUUUAAGGAAUUAUUUCAAUCCAUUUGUUGUGCCAGAGGCUAAUAUGUUCUUCACCUCCUUCAUCAAAGUAGAUGUGGGAGCUGAAUUAUUCCCAAUAUAUGUGCUUCCAGGGUGUGAACCCACGUAGGCUGUUGUCACCUUUGUGCACCAGUGAUUCUGCUCUCCAAAUUUAGCAAGUUCAAACCCUUUUCCUGAGUCCCAUUAUCUUUGUCAAGAGGGUUUAGGUCCAGAUGUGUCACUUGCAUGAUUUGAUUAUAAAUGCUUUUUUUCAAUAAUAGUGGCAUCCGGUCCAGCUUACGCGCUCCUUCAUUAUUCCACCAGGUACCUGCCAUCUCUCCCAAUAAUAGGUACCGGGUAACUCUGCCCACCAAAUGGGAAAAAAUCACCUUGUGCUUUUGACUAUAAAUGCUUCUAAUCCUGGUCUCUACUCUUCUGUCCUACUUGAUUGGUCAUCCAACCUUUGAUUUAGAGAAUAGAAGAGCUUUAACACACGUAGAAGUAUGUUGUGCUUAUCUUGAUGUUCGCAUUCUUAUAUUUUCUUUCUCAGUCAGACAGAUAAAGAAAGUUACACCUUCCUCCCAAUAUGUAGACAUAAUAGUAGGAAGCUAGAAAAAUUAAAUCUCACUAUUUUCAAUCAUGAAAAAACUUUUUUGUGCUCAUUAUUGUAUAUUUAUACUUUUAUAUUCUUCACCCUCCCUCAUGUUGUGAAGCCUCAUUUAGUUCUUUUAACUUCAGUUGUUUAUGACAGUAUCCAGGAAGUUGUUGGUUCGAUUUUCUUCUUGUUGUGUUGUUACUAGUAGCUAAUAUAGUUUCUUCUUUCGCGGGAUUAUAAAGUAACUUUUGGUUGCAAAUUUUUGAUUAUCUUGGAAGAUCUUCGGACAUCGAUUCUUCUUCACCUGUUGAAUAUCUAAGCUGCAGAUCGAGGUGGUGAAUCCAGACCUACGGCUGGAGUAUUAAAUCUGAAACAAGUGUAUUUUUGUUCAUAAUGUAAUUUUUUUCUAUAUUUUUGUUCCAGUCGGACAACUAAUUGAAGAUCUUGGUGGACAAAAA